rnacentral:rRNA from 1 species
GACAGAGGGUGCAAACGUUGUUCGGAAUUACUGGGCGUAAAGCGCGUGUAGGCGGCUCGGAAAGUCGGAUGUGAAAGCCCUGGGCUUAACCUAGGAAGUGCAUUCGAAACUCCCGAGCUUGAGUUCUGGAGAGGAAGGCGGAAUUCCCGGUGUAGAGGUGAAAUUCGUAGAUAUCGGGAGGAACACCAGUGGCGAAGGCGGCGAUCUGGGCAGAUACUGACGCUGAGGUGCGAAAGCGUGGGGAGCAAACAGG